rnacentral:rRNA from 1 species
UGGACGAACGCUGGCGGCGUGCCUAAUACAUGCAAGUCGAGUUAAGUUUUUCUGGUGCUUGCACUAGAAAAACUUAGCGGCGAACGGGUGAGUAACACGUAAAGAACCUGCCUCAUAGACUGGGACAACUAUUGGAAACGAUAGCUAAUACCGGAUAACAGUAUUUCUCGCAUGAGAGAUAUUUAAAAGUUGGUUAUGCUAACACUAUGAGAUGGCUUUGCGGUGCAUUAGCUAGUUGGUGGGGUAAAGGCCUACCAAGGCGACGAUGCAUAGCCGACCUGGGAGGGUGAUCGGCCACACUGGGACUGAGACACGGCCCAGACUCCUACGGGAGGCAGCAGUAGGGAAUCUUCCGCAAUGGGCGAAAGCCUGACGGAGCAACGCCGCGUGAGUGAAGAAGGAUUUCGGUUCGUAAAGCUCUGUUGUUAGGGAAGAAUGGAUAUGUAGUAACUAUACAUAUAAGAGACGGUACCUAACCAGAAAGCCACGGCUAACUACGUGCCAGCAGCCGCGGUAAUACGUAGGUGGCAAGCGUUGUCCGGAAUUAUUGGGCGUAAAGCGCGCGCAGGUGGUUUAAUAAGUCUGAUGUGAAAGCCCACGGCUCAACCGUGGAGGGUCAUUGGAAACUGUUAAACUUGAGUGCAGGAGAGAAAAGUGGAAUUCCUAGUGUAGCGGUGAAAUGCGUAGAGAUUAGGAGGAACACCAGUGGCGAAGGCGGCUUUUUGGCCUGUAACUGACACUGAGGCGCGA